UGGCAUAAAUAUCCUAACUAGAAUGAUUGUAUAUUCCAUUAACAAUAACCCCUAAGGGAACUCAGAAAGUGUAAUCACUGGAAAGCUCUAUUAGUCAGAGGCCAGGCACACCUGAUAUGGUGCUGCGUUCAAAAUGUCUUCCUCUUAAAUAUUAUUGACAGUAAAACUGUACCCCUAUAUCUAUUCUAUUAAAUGACCUAAAGAUUUACUGUGGAAACAAUACAACACCAAAUGAAAUUAUCAAAGUGUUUUGUAGUGAAUUAUUGGUUUGGCGGAAAAUUAAUGACAUGAUUACUUUGGUCUUUGGCACAUGAACUAAAGUGUCCUACCAUGAGUUCCCUCCUAGUACCUCUUCAAAUAACACAGUGAAGCCCUUUAAAGCACCAAAAAUAAAUAAUUGAUAGUGAUGUUAACCCAAAUUAUGUUUAGCCUUCAAACUGCAUAUGAAAACUUCUGUAUAAGUCAUGGGAGAAAGUUUAAUGCUAUGAUGGGAUUUUCACGUACUUUAACAUUUUGUGUACGUAUUCUAUAGUAUGCAAAUACUUUUAUCUUCAGUGGUGUAUGUUAUUGUGGAGUGAGUAUCUUUACUUGCCAGGAUUUAAAAAUCAAUUUAAAUGCUAUGUCAGUCAGAGUGUUAUCUUUUCAGAACAAUGCAUUAACAAGGUCUAGCUUUGAAUCUCACUGCCCAGCACAUUACCCAGUAAAUAGGAAAAUAAUUUGGGAAUAUUUAAACUUGCAGGUCUCUGAUUUUGCUCAUCAAAAUAUUUUUGCUCAAAAUAUGUAAACUCCCAGCUGUAGUAGUUGUGUUUAGUUCUUAGUUAUAGUAGGCACAGAUAUAUUUUGGAAUUUUACAAAGUAUAUAUGGAUUUUUUGUAUUUUUAGUCCAUACUAAUUUGCUCAUGGUAUAUUAGUGCCUCAGUUUCCCAACUGCAUAUUAAAGCAUGAACAAGAAUGAAAUCCUAUUUUGAUAUUUGUCUGUGCCAUGAAUGCCCUUACCACUACAUGGUUCACAAGGGUCUCAGGGAUGUCGUUGGUGACUUUACAGGCUUCUGCAGACAGCUCACAGAUGAUGGUCAACUCAGACUGAUUGGUCCAGAGAAAGGAAAGGUGUGUAGAACGUCUGGCCAGAGCAGCCAUUCUGAAUGCUGUGCGGGACCUCUGGGCAAAGCAAGAAGGAAAGGUAAUGAUUUUAUAAUGUGGCUACAACUCAAGAUACAUGACUGUAGUCAGAAACUUGUUGGAGCAGGGUCAAAGAAAAGAGGGAAGGGACAACAAUGGUAAGGAAGCAGUUAGGGAUAGCAGGACUCAUAGAGGGUGUUAGGGAUGGGGUGGGAAUGUUAGGGAUCAGGUGGGAAAUGAGCCAGAUGUCUGGUGUCACCAGUCACCAUUAGUGUAUUCAUAUCAGACAAAAAUGACUGCCUUAUGUAUAUUUUAUAACUCUUUUCUUUAUAACCAAGCCUUUAUGGAAGCUACGUGUGGACAUGGUAAGUAGAGUCUUUAAUAUUAUAGUUAUUUCUAGAGGUAAUAUUUUUAUAGAUUACCUGGUUGUUUUGAUAAUCAGUAAGAAUAUUUAAGACUAGUCUGUUGAUCAUUGAUUAUAAAAUAAAAACAGAAAAAAUUAUUUUUUUUCCACAAGGGGCAUGAACCCAAGACCUUGCAUGCUAGGCAAGCACUCUACCACUAACCUAUGUUCUCAGACCAUAAUGUUCUCUUUCUGAUAAUUUGAAAUAUCAGAUACCUGUGCUGUGCAGGCAAGCAGGUAAGGAUGGAUGGGAGGCAAUAAGUUCAAGUCCUGUUUUCUUCUAAAGGGUGCUUACAACAUCAUAUAAAUUCUGAGCUCUUAUUGCUUGAGAAAACUAUCGGAACCAUUAGGAGCCUCAGAAUCAGUUUAAAUAUCAAAUGACAAUAGAAUGUCAUAAAUUUUGAAAAGCCACAUACUUUUACUAGGACAUCUGUUUUAGUAAAUCUAAAAGCACGAUCUGAUCAAGUCAUUGCAGUUUCCACCAUGUAGUUCCUUCAGGUCAGGAGCUUGAUACUGAAUUCCAAAGGUAUACAGUUGGCUGUUUUCUUUCCCGGUGACCAAUAUUUGUAGCAGGAAUGAGCACCUGAUUGUUAAGGAGGAUUUAAAAAAAAAAUUAUUAGUGCUAGUUUAUGUUGCUAGUCUAUACUUGGGACCUUCAGAAUGACAGGACCAGACAGACACAUAGAUCCCAAAGAUCCCUUCCUGGAAAGGAUAAGCCCGUGAGAUUAGGGUAAGCAUCAAUAAAUAAUCUGCCUGUGGAUUGAUAUGGUCCUUUCUCCUAUGCCACCAGGAUCCAGAGAUGCUGUUGUCCUGUGUUGAUUUCUUGAUCUGAUGUCUUGACAAACCAGGGUGCUUACGUGCCACAAUAGAGUGAUGAUUAAGCAACUCCUACACAAGGCCCUGCAAUUACUCCAGAUUGACAGCUGUAGACUGGGGAGUGUCAAAGAAAACCUCUCAGUAUCACUGAUGCCCAAAAAGUUUGGAAGUGAAGAUGAUGUGGAAGCUGUGGACCAAGCCUCCACUCUGCUCCCACUGGCCUUUAGAACUCAUGGUCCAUCUACCUCCUUGCUGGUGGAGCUGGACUCUGAACUGGUUGGUACAGCACUCGAUAAUAUUUGACUGUCAAUCUCUGCCAGCCUUCAAAACAGGUAGGUCAGUAACAUUAACUCCUCUCUCACUGCAGUAAUAGCCCUUGAUCCUGGAGAGCUCCUUGAAAACUCUCAGGGCCAGUACUCAGAACCCUGAGCACUGUUAGGAGCACCUAGAGUAGAU